rnacentral:misc_RNA from 1 species
GCUGCACCCAAAAACCUAGAUCUAUUGGAUAAAAACACAACAACACUAUUUAUCCAAAAAAAAAAAGAAGGAAAAGAUGCAUCAACAAGGCAGUCCGCAGUAUGCCCUUACUUCAGCAUAAACUUCACCUGUGUUCUACCGCAUGUCUUUGUAUAUUUACAUGCAUUUAGGAUUAUAUGCAAUUAAGCUCCUGAAGAAAAACUCAUGAAGGCAGGAUUCAACCAUCCACAUGAAUAACUGGUACUCUCUCUUUCAUAACCAUCCCUUCCAGGAUACCAUCACCCCGGAAAUUAGGACAGAAGAGUCGAGGGUCAACAGGUCCAGGCAAUUUGAAGGAAAUAGUAAAUGGUCCAGGUGGGCUCAGUUGUUGGACUCUCAACUGGAACACAUUCAAUGAGUCUCUCAAAAAUCCAGCAUCAGGCGUUACUACUCCUCGUACAUGAAUAGUCCCAUCACGUUGGAUCUCGCAUUUUACCCCACAUUCAUUCUUCCGGAUGCCAGGCAGUGCAACCCGGAAAAGGUACGCUGCUUCACUAACACCUAUGUCAAUUAGACCAAUAGGUGGUCCAGCACCACCUUCCUUUGCUGUUCCAGCUAAUACUAUUGGUGGUUUCAGUUGUGGAUGGUUGCCAAGGCUUUGUGGAUCCAUGCUGCCAAUUCAAUAACCACCAUAAAGCAGGGAAGAGGAAAACGACGAC